rnacentral:pre_miRNA from 1 species
CUAAUACUCCCUCCGUCCGAAAAUACUUUUCAUCAAAAUGAAUAAAAAUGGAUGUAUCUAGAACUAAAAUAUGUCUAGAUACAUCUCUUUUUAUCCAUUUUGAUGACAAGUAUUUCCGGACGGAGGGAGUAUAAG